UUCAACGGUGCACUCAAUUCCGUGCUACAAUUUCAUGAUUCUCUCUUUGUGCGUUCAGGUGAAUGUUGCUCCGUGCGUGACGUUGUUUAUCUUUUGGUGAUUCUUCUCGCAUGGUUGUUUGGAGCGCUGGAAUCUCCCGAGGAAGAGAGUAAUUCUGCCAUGGAAGACUGAGAGCAAUUAUGGAAUGAAGUUUCAGAUGACUCCAAUGUUGAGGGAAUACGGAUGCUUCGGUUAGGGUUUCAGGUCACAUGAGGCGAGCGGAGAUCAAUCGGCCGCAUUCCAUGAUUUUCUCGGUAAAAUGAUGCGUGCUGCUUCUAUCGAUAUCAGUCGAUCCAUCAGAGGCAAAUCGCCGGUGGUUUUUUGGCUAUUUAUGUUCGUGGCAGCUUUCUGGUGUCGUUUUAAGUUGGAUGAUGCGACUACCAGCAAGAACGAUCAAUACUUCUUUAUUUCCUUGGGGAAGGAUUUUACGGAUCAUCCUUUAUGGGCCAAUGCGACUGACGAAGAUCAGCAGAUACUUCGGCAAAAUAGAAAUGCUUAGAACCUUUUUAUGGCCCAAAACAUUUGGAUAUCCCUCUAUAGCUUCACAAUGAAGGCUGAAGCUUCAUUGCUGCUCGCAGAGAAAGAACUGCUGAAGAUAUCUUGGCUGCAAAUCUUCCACACUUGCACUCCAACCUCAAAUUCAUUCAGUUGUAUUGGAGGCUGGCAAAAAUUCUGUGGGGCUUCUUAUUAUUCGACAAAUCUUGUCUCAGCUGAGACAUUUAUCAUUGAUUUAACAGCAAAACCACCUUCCAUUGGGGAAAAAGAUUUUGACAACAAUAUGCAGGCUGCGAGACUAUGCAGAGAAGCUAUCCCAACUCACCAGAUCAAUGAGAGAAGAAGUUACACUGCAAUGGAUAUGUAAACGCUUGUAUUGUUGCAAAUUGGCGAGAACACAAAUGCAUGCUCCCUUGAUGAAAGCAGAGUCAGUGUCCGGCUGUUGGGCAUAAUUCCUUUUUGGGGAGACUCGAGAGUAAGGAGUAAGGCGCAAGUUCACAAAUUGAGCAAGGAAAGAGACUCGCCUCUACAAACAAAGGUGGGUUGAGGCACCUGACCAGAAUCAUGCACUAUAUCAGAUUGCUUCGAUCUCUUCCUGUACAAUUGGA